rnacentral:snRNA from 1 species
GUGCUUGCUUUGGCAGUACAUAUACUAAAAUUGGAAUGAUACAGAGUAGAUUAGGAUAACCCCUAGUGAUGGCAAUCAAAAUAGGAUCUUUCGCUGUUUUU